CCUACGGGCGGCAGCAGUAGGGAAUAUUGCUCAAUGGGGGAAACCCUGAAGCAGCAACGCCGCGUGGAGGAUGAAGGUUUUCGGAAUGUAAACUCCUUUUGGUAGAGAAGAAAAUGACGGUAGCUGACGAAGAAGCACCGGCUAACGCCGUGCCAGCAGCCGCGGUAAUACGGAGGGGGCAAGCGUUACUCGGAAUCACUGGGCGUAACGAGAGCGUAGGCGGGAGAGCAAGUCAGAUGUGAAAUCCUAUGGCUUAACCAUAGAACUGCUUUUGAAACUGUUCUUCUAGAGUAUGGGAGAGGUAGGUGGAAUUCUUGGUGUAGCGGUUAAAUCCGUAGAGAUCAAGAGGAAUCCUCAUUGCGAAGGCGACCUGCUAGACCAUACCUGACGCUGAUGCUCGAAAGCGUGGGGAGCAAACAGGAUUAGAUACCCGAGUAGUC
rnacentral:rRNA from 1 species